rnacentral:lncRNA from 1 species
GGCUAACCAGAAUGCUCGGGUACCUCCAGGCUGCAGGGUUCAUGUGUCAGAGACACAUGGUCAUCACUGGCUGACUCAGUGUUUUCAUCCCUCCAGGUGGUUUAUGCUCCGCUCCUGGGCCAGCAGCUCAUGCUGCUUGAAGUGCUGAGGACGAUUGAAGCGAGACGGCCAUGAGCAAGAAGAUGGCCCGAGACACCCCCGCUGCCCGGGCCUGAGCCUGUCCCCACAGACCUCAUACUCUCGCCUCACGCCAGCGGGGUCCGGCAUGAGGUCACUCCAAUCCUGCUGCAGGAUGCGGCCUUGUUGAUCGGCCAGGGCGCUCAGCUGCUUCGUGCAGCCUUGCAGGAUGUUGUGCUCGGCCACCUGCUGUUCCAGCUCUGCCAUCCCAGGCCCAUAGUGGCCCUCACGGACCAGAUUCUGCAGAAGAGCCAGGUCCUCAGCCCUACCAGGAAGGGCACGGUACUCCGAGCACUCCUGGGUCACCCGCUCAUGCAGCUGCUUGAUGCUGCCAAGGAAGAGC